rnacentral:misc_RNA from 1 species
GGAAGGAUCAUUGACAAAUCUCUAAACAGCUGUCUCUCCCCCCAAGGAGAGGCAGUAACCUUCCAACCUGUGAAUCGGCAGUCUUCGGGCUGUUGCGCUUUGGCAGUGUGCGGUGCUCCGGCACUUCCCUCUGUCAAGCUCACAUAAACGUCUAACAAAUGUCUAAGCAUGAUGUGCAAACAUAAAAACAACUUUUAGCAAUGGAUCUCUUGGCUUCUGUAACGAUGAAGAACGCAGUGAAAUGCGAUAAUUAAUGUGAAUUGCAUUAUCUCGUGAAUCAUCGAGUCUUUGAACGCACCUUGCACUUUUCAGGUCUCCUGGAAAGUAUACUUGUUUGAGUAUCAUAAACACCUCUCAGUCACACCUCUCUAGGGGGGUGGUGUCUGGAAGUGAGACGUCAGGGAGUGCAUGCUCCUUGUGUCUUUUAAUUGAUAUGCAGUGCGCUUCCCCCGCCACACCCGUGUGUGCGUCGUGGAUGCCCAACCGCUAAAUGUGAGAUAGAUAUCGCACAGAGCGGCGGCUGGGUCAAGUGCUGCUACGCCCAGCGUGCCCGUGGCACACACCGAGUCAUUGAUCUCAAAUCAAGUAAGAAUACCCGCUGAACUUAAGCAUAUCAGUAAGCGGAGGAAAAGAAACUAACAAGGAUUCCCCUAGUAACGGCGAGUGAAGAGGGAAGAGCUCAAAUUUAAAAUCCGUAAGGCCUCCUUACCGAAUUGUAAUUUACAGAAGUGUUUUCUUGGCGCGGCCGCUGGCACAAGUCUCUUGGAAAAGAGCAUCAGAGAGGGUGACAAUCCCGUACCUGGCCUCCAGCCUGCGCCUCUGCGAUGCACUCUCUACGAGUCGGAUUGUUUGGGAAUGCAGUCCUAAAUGGGUGGUAAAUUUCAUCUAAGGCUAAAUAUUGACAGAAGACCGAUAGCGAACAAGUACCGUGAGGGAAAGAUGAAAAGAACUUUGAAAAGAGAGUUAAAAGUACGUGAAAUUGCUAAAAGGGAAACGAUCAGAGUCAGUAUUGCCCUGGGAGGCUCAGCCAGUGCUAGCGGAAGCAGCUGCGGACCGAGUGUAACAGCCGGUCUCGGGUGUGUGACGUGGGCGCUGGCGCAUUCCUCCCGGGCAAGUCAGCAUCGGUUCUGCUUGCUGGAUAGGGCCUGGAGGAAGGUGGGUGUUGUCUCCGGACGAUAUCUUUAUAGACUCCAGACUGAGACGGCGGGCGGGACCGAGGACUGCAGUCUAAAGCCGCAGGGCUGGGACCAACAGGACAUGCAGCAUCCCGCAGAGUGUGCCUGCACGCAGGAGCAGUCUGUGUGACGCUGCAUUGUCUUGGGCGUCGCCGUUAGACUUAGGAUGCUGACGAAAUGGCUUUGACCGACCCGUCUUGAAACACGGACCAAGGAGUCUAACAACUAUGCGAGUGUUUGGGUGUCAAACCCAAGCGCGCAACGAAAGUGAUUUUAGUGAGACUCCCUCGGGAUGCACCAUUAGCCAGUCUGGAUCUCCUGUGAAAGAUUGAGCAGGAGCAUAGCUGUUAGGACCCGAAAGAUGGUGAACUAUGCCUGAAUAGGGUGAAGUCAGAGGAAACUCUGAUGGAGGCUCGUAGCGGUUCUGACGUGCAAAUCGAUCGUCAAAUUUGGGUAUAGGGGCGAAAGACUAAUCGAACCAUCUAGUAGACUCGAAAUUAACUGCUAGAGAUAGUAGGGCAAUGGUUGGCAACUGUUGUUAUGCCUGCUAGUCGAGCAGCCAUCAAGUGACAGGUGGCUGCCGGCAAGGUGACCUGGUACGAGGGAGGCCUCAAAGCUUGCCAUAUGCGAUUAGUGUGUGUGUGGAAGGGGAGUAACACUUGCUGUUCUCUGACAUGUGCACUAUAAGCCAGCGUAUGGUGGGUAUGGGGUUAAUCUCGUGGCGAAUUCUAUGGGGGCGACCCUGUAUGUGAAUCGUCGUAACGCGCGGUAAGGCACCGGCCAACUCUUUCUGUAAGAGGAGUUGGCUCAAGGAACGUGCUACUCCCAGACGAUGGAAAGUCUGUUUUGUACUCGAGCACCUGUCAUGCAAAGGUACAGAAGAGGUUAGUGUGAGGCGGGAGGAAAUGCCCGCUUCACUAGCAUCAUCAUCGCUGUGAUGUUUGCUAGACCUCGGUAGGAAGGAGCUGGUUCCCUC